CAAUACGUAGGGUGCAAGCGUUAAUCGGAAUUACUGGGCGUAAAGCGUGCGCAGGCGGUUUUGUAAGACAGGCGUGAAAUCCCCGGGCUCAACCUGGGAAUGGCGCUUGUGACUGCAAGGCUGGAGUGCGGCAGAGGGGGAUGGAAUUCCGCGUGUAGCAGUGAAAUGCGUAGAUAUGCGGAGGAACACCGAUGGCGAAGGCAAUCCCCUGGGCCUGCACUGACGCUCAUGCACGAAAGCGUGGGGAGCAAACAGG
rnacentral:rRNA from 1 species